GCCAGCAGAACAAGCUGGAGAGACGGCGAAGAGGGCAAGUGGCUGAGAGGCUAUGGGGCUGGGCAGGGGGCAAUGGGGAGUCACAUGAGGUGCCUCUGGGGUGCCCCUCCAGGCAGUGGGGCCCCCAGACAACUGUCUCCCCUUGCCCUAUCAUUGUUACGCGCCUGCUCUGAAUAUAGCACAGAGCUGCAUUAGGACCUCAAGCAGCAGCUGUGACAAGGUUUACUUGUCACCGACACCAUACUUUCAUUCAGACUUAUUCAUUCAGACUUGUUUAGACUUUGCAGAAAUAUUCUUCUUGACUUCACAAGGAAAUGACAGGGAAGACCUCACAGAAAUUGAAAUCUUACUUAAGUAGGAUAUUUCCGACAAAAAUCUGACAUGAUCAGUCUGAUGCACAGCCCAUAUAUGUUUGCUGAAGAGCACUUGUCAGCAUCUGCAUAGGUGAGGACAGACCAAUUUGUCGGUGUGUCUUUCUUAAAGGGUUGUAUAAAAUGUCCUAAAGCACACAGGUUCAUUUUUGGUACCACAGGCACUGACAUAAUACUUGUACCAGUAAGUGGAGUACUUCCAUAUUUUUGUCACAAAAGAAAGCAGAGAUAGUGACUUCUCUUCCUUCUUUCAUUUCAGUCGCGGCCCAGUUUAAGCCAGUUGUGCCCAAACAAACAAGCAAAACAUCCUAAGGAUGUCCUGAUUUGAGGAAUGUUCCACUGCAGACAAAACUGCAAAACUGUUUCUUAUUUGCUUAUUAUUUUUUUGUGUAAACCACCCAGAGCUAUUUUUGGAAGGGCGGUACAGAAAUUGAAUGAACGAACGAACGAACAAACAAACAAACAAACAGUGAGUUUUGUUUUUAAAAUGCCAUCUUGUGAAAUCCAAAAGGAGCUCUCUCCUAGGUUGAGUGACAAAUGGGUGGAAACAUGCAUUUCAGCACUGGAUCAACACUGCAUAUACACUUUCAGAAAUAUUCACCCACUCACUCAUAUCCUGAAAUUAACACACCUAUUAGGAAUACAUCAUGGCCAUUUAUAAUUCAUAAAUGGCAUAUCUUUUCCUAAUAGCUUUUUUCUGAAUCACAGUCUUCUGCUUUA